rnacentral:lncRNA from 1 species
UUUGCUCUUCCCCAUAGAUUAUUAGUUUCCCAAAAUCUUUUCUCACUUCUUAUUUUCUACGUUUCCUCUUUUUCUUUCUCCAUAUUUUCUUCUUCUUUCUCCCCUCCCACUAUUUUUCUUCCACCAAAAACCAUUAUGACACCAUUCAUUCAAAAGAUAAUAUUUUUUAAUUUUAUUAAGGUUAAAACUAUAACUUGUUUUUUUUAUUAUUUGAUUUUUUUUUUUUGACAAAGACUCAAGAGCUUGAUCACUAUAAGGUAUGUAUUGUUUGAUUUUUUGUAGGUUGA